UCCACUGGGAACAGCGCCUGUGAACCCGCUCAGAGUCCAUCACUGACUGACUGUCUAACGUACAAAGAGGAUUACGCGGCUGUCACGGAGGAAGCUGCACCAGGUGAAACGAGCGCUUGAGCCGUCACAUUCCAUCUAAAUCAGUGACUCACCCGUUGAGGAUGGCUCCGCGCAAAACAGAAGCGGUUGUGACCUCGUGGGAAGUGACCAGGGCCUUCUUGUAUCCCAGCGAAUGCAGCGCUGCCUACAGCCUGGGCCAAGAGAAUGACCACAGGCCCCCAGGUGAUGGUGAGCCUCACACAGUCAACUUGCAGACAGCAGCACCGGACACACAGUCAGGGCAG